rnacentral:rRNA from 1 species
AGCGAACGCUGGCGGCAGGCCUAACACAUGCAAGUCGAACGAAGUCUUCGGACUUAGUGGCGGACGGGUGAGUAACACGUGGGAACGUGCCUUUAGGUUCGGAAUAACUCAGGGAAACUUGUGCUAAUACCGAAUGUGCCCUUCGGGGGAAAGAUUUAUCGCCUUUAGAGCGGCCCGCGUCUGAUUAGCUAGUUGGUGAGGUAAAGGCUCACCAAGGCGACGAUCGGUAGCUGGUCUGAGAGGAUGAUCAGCCACAUUGGGACUGAGAGACGGCCCAAAGUCCUACGGGAGGCAGCAGUGGGGAAUCUUGCGCAAUGGGCGAAAGCCUGACGCAGCCAUGCCGCGUGGAUGAUGAAGGUCUUAGGAUUGUAAAAUCCUUUCACCGGUGAAGAUAAUGACUGUAGCCGGAGAAGAAGCCCCGGCUAACUUCGUGCCAGCAGCCGCCGUAACAC